CAAAAUUUAAUUAGCAAAAUGCCAUAUUUAUUAGUAAUUUAUAGAGAGAAAGAGCUCUCUCUCAUCUCAUCACUAUAAUAUAUAUGGCCAAGAUGUAUUCUCAUGCAGCUGCCAAUAAUUUAUCCAUGGCCAUUUCCACAAUGCUCCUACUUGGGCUGCUGCUUAUGUCAAUUUUAGACCCAACAGCUGCCCAAAUUGGAGUUUGCUACGGACUGGUUGUCAUUUGGAGAUUGUCAAUUCGGAGACUGGUUGGCCUUCGGCUGGGGGAACAGCGACGUCGUUUGAGAACGCCAGGAUUUAUAAUGGAAACUUGAUUCAACAUGUGAAGGGAGGGACUCCGAAGAGACCAGGGAGGCCUAUUGAGACUUAUUUGUUUGCCAUGUUCAAUGAGAACCAAAAGACCCCUGAAUAUGAGAAGCAUUGGGGACUUUCUUCCCCAACAAACAGCCCAAAUACAAUAUUAAUUUGAAUUAAUAAGUGUAGUGAGGAUUAUUGUGUUAAGUACGUACUUGAUGUGUGUUGUGUAAUAAGGACCAAGUUCAUGAUUUGUUUCUUUAUAUGAUCCUAUACAUGUAAAAGUUCAUGUGAGAAGUCAGCAUGGAAAAAACAAUGUUGGCUAACUCCGAUAAAUAAAGGGAAAUUUGAGUUUUAUGCUUAA